UAAGGAAUAUUGGUCAAUGGACGAAAGUCUGAACCAGCCAUGCCGCGUGGAGGAUGAAGGCCCUCUGGGUUGUAAACUUCUUUUAUAGGGGACGAAAAAGGGUCUUUCUAGAUCAACUGACGGUACCCUAGGAAUAAGCACCGGCUAACUCCGUGCCAGCAGCCGCGGUAAUACGGAGGGUGCAAGCGUUAUCCGGAUUCACUGGGUUUAAAGGGUGCGUGGGUGGGUUAGUAAGUCAGUGGUGAAAUCUUCGAGCUUAACUCGGAAACUGCCAUUGAUACUAUUAGUCUUGAAUAUUGUGGAGGUUAGCGGAAUAUGUCAUGUAGCGGUAAAAUGCUUAGAUAUGACAUAGAACACCAAUUGCGAAGGCAGCUGGCUACACAUAUAUUGACACUGAGGCACGAAAGCGUGGGAAUCAAA
rnacentral:rRNA from 1 species